rnacentral:lncRNA from 1 species
UGGCUGCCUUUCUAAAGUGGUAUCAUUUGCACUGCUGCUGUAAUCUUCUGCAGUGAGAGGGCCAAUACUGGAGAUGCUGAACUGCUGAACCCCUAUAGCCACCUCAAGAGGAUCUCUUCAGACUGAACUAACUCAUUAAACAUCUUUGCCUGAUUCUCCAUCCCUGACAGACCUGACCUCAAGCCCGCAGAAGCUGUCAAAGUCCUCCAGAAGACCUGGGUUCUCACGUACUGUAGAAGCAGCCAUCACCAAGCCAUUCACUUGUGUGAUCAAAGUAGUUAAAAUUAGUUUUCAUCUUUGGUUGCUAUUGGAGAAUGGGGUAGCAUAGGAUCUAUGCAGAUGUUUGAAUCUGUCCCAUAAAAGACUACUCUCAAACUGCUAAGAUCUUCAA